CGGUGAAGCCAAGCUUGCUUGGUGGAUCAGUGGCGAACGGGUGAGUAACACGUGAGCAACCUGCCCUGGACUCUGGGAUAAGCGCUGGAAACGGCGUCUAAUACUGGAUAUGAGCCUCUAUCGCAUGGUGGGGGUUGGAAAGAUUUUUCGGUCUGGGAUGGGCUCGCGGCCUAUCAGCUUGUUGGUGAGGUAAUGGCUCACCAAGGCGUCGACGGGUAGCCGGCCUGAGAGGGUGACCGGCCACACUGGGACUGAGACACGGCCCAGACUCCUACGGGAGGCAGCAGUGGGGAAUAUUGCACAAUGGGCGGAAGCCUGAUGCAGCAACGCCGCGUGAGGGAUGACGGCCUUCGGGUUGUAAACCUCUUUUAGCAGGGAAGAAGCGAGAGUGACGGUACCUGCAGAAAAAGCGCCGGCUAACUACGUGCCAGCAGCCGCGGUAAUACGUAGGGCGCAAGCGUUAUCCGGAAUUAUUGGGCGUAAAGAGCUCGUAGGCGGUUUGUCGCGUCUGCUGUGAAAUCCCGAGGCUCAACCUCGGGCCUGCAGUGGGUACGGGCAGACUAGAGUGCGGUAGGGGAGAUUGGAAUUCCUGGUGUAGCGGUGGAAUGCGCAGAUAUCAGGAGGAACACCGAUGGCGAAGGCAGAUCUCUGGGCCGUAACUGACGCUGAGGAGCGAAAGGGUGGGGAGCAAACAGGCUUAGAUACCCUGGUAGUCCACCCCGUAAACGUUGGGAACUAGUUGUGGGGACCAUUCCACGGUUUCCGUGACGCAGCUAACGCAUUAAGUUCCCCGCCUGGGGAGUACGGCCGCAA
rnacentral:rRNA from 1 species